rnacentral:rRNA from 1 species
GACGAACGCUGGCGGUGGGCCUAAUACAUGCAAGUAGAACGCACAGGGUAUACCGUAGCUUGCUACACUAUAGACCGUGAGGUGCGAACGGGAGAGUAACGCGCAGGUAACCUGCCUGGUAGCGGGGGACAACGAUGGGAAACGAUAGCUAAUACCGCAUAAUAUUAAGUAUUGCAUGAUAAUGAAUAGAAAGGUGCAAUGGAACCACUACCAGAGGGACCUGCGUUGUAUUAGCUAGUAGGUGAGGUAACGGCUCACCUAGGCGACGACACAUAGCCGACCUGAGAGGGUGAUCGGCCACCCUGGGACUGGGACACGGCCCAGACCCCUACGGGAGGCAGCAGUAGGGGAUCUUCGGAGAUGGACGCAAGUCUGACCGAGCAACGCCGCGUGAGUGAAGAAGGUUUUCGGAUCGUAAAGCUCUGUUGUAAGAGAAGAACGGGUGUGAGAGUGGAAAGUUCACACUGUGACGGUAUCUUACCAGAAAGGGACGGCUAACUCCGUG